rnacentral:lncRNA from 1 species
UCUGGCUUUCUUUUUGCCUCAUACAUCCUCAUCUUAGAGCUGAAGAAGUCUGUGCUUUGGAAAUGCCAAUAGAUGCCGUCAGGAAAGGUAUAAACACAACCCUGCUUUCUCAAGACAAAGGAUCAGGAGAAGGGCAGCCUUGCAAGACAGAAACUUUUAGUUGUGGCAUAUUCAGUUCUCAGGCUAGGAGCUGAAUCAGAGCUGUAGCUGCUGGCCCACACCACAGCCACAGCAAAGCCAGAUCCGAGCUGCAUCUGCGACCUACACCACAGCUCAUAGCAAUGCCGGAUCCUUAACCCAUUGAGCAAGGCCAACAAUAGAACCUGCGUCCUCAUGAGUGCUAGUCAGAUUCGUUUCCACUUGGCCAUGAUGGGAACUCCCCAGUAACUUCUUUUCUUUUUUUUUCUUUUGCUUUUGGCCACACCUGAAGCAUGUGGAAGUUCCUGGACCAGGGACUGAACCCGUGCUGGAAUUGCCAGGUGAAGCAACGUGGGAUCCUUAACCCGCUGUGCCACAAGGAAACUUCCAGGCACUAACUUUUAUAUUUUAGCCAGACACUACAGAAAACACUGUGGCCUCCACCCCAACCCCACCGGCAAAAACCGAGGGGGGAGCCUAGAUCCCCAUCCUUGUCAGGCUGCACUGGGGACGCCCACCUCCCUGGCAGAGGUGGUGUUAGAGAAGCCCAAAGAGGGAGUUGGGACUUUGAGCCCCGAAGGGCAGUAAGGAGACUCCCCCCACUGCCGUCAGCGGGGAUUAUGUGAGGAGCCCAUGCACGCACCAAGCAAUCACCAGGCCCCCUCCCCUCCCACUGGGAUGCUGUCAGAGGAUGCCUCUUGCAGAGGCGGGACUCAUACCACCCCACGACACCUGAGGCGGCUAGUGGAACUCGGGACCCUGUUCCCCGUUAAUAAGGCAGCUCCCAUCCCCCUUCCCUUGCCGGAAUAGUGUCAGAGGAAGCCAGCUCAAUCAGAAGGUUAAAAUGAGAUUCAGAGUCUCAGAACUAAUAAUACCUAAAAUGCCUCCAUUUACUUUUUAAAAAUGAUUUUUAUUUUUUCCAUUAUAACUGGUUUACAGUGUUCUGUCAAUUUUCUACAGUACAGCAAAGAGACCCACUCACACAUACACAUAUACAUUCUUUUUCUCACAUCAUCCUCCAUCAUAAGUGACUAGAUAAUCGUUCCCAGUGCUACUCAGCAGGAUCUCAUAGUCUGCAUUAAGUGAAGGUCACUUAUAAUACUAUCAGGAGCAUCCCAACUUUCCUGAAAAAAGAUAAGCCACGGACACCAAUCAUCAGAGGCCAGGGAUGCUAGAAUCACCUGCUUCAAAAAAGUUUUGAAGCAUCCACGACAAAUAUCCUUUGAGGAACAAUUAUGAACAUGCUUGGAAUCAAUGAAGAGAUCAAAAGUCUGAGUGAAGAAUUAGAAGAUAUAAGGAAAAACCAAAUGAAAUUUUCGAACACAGAAAUACAACAACUAAAAUAAAUUCAGCGUAUGGGUUCAAGAGCAGUGGAGUGGAGAGACUCAGUGUACUUGCUGAUAGGAAAAUAGAAAUUACCCAAUGUGAGCAAUAAAGAGAAAAUAGCUUUGGUGUGGGAGAGAGAACACUGCCUCAAAGACCCGUGGGACCAAAACAAAAAUGUCUAAAUUCUCACAUCACUGAAGUCGUUGAAGGAGAGAAGAAAAGUACUAAAGAACUUAAAUAAAGUACUUAAAGAAAUGACUGGAAAUUUGGCAAAAGAUAUAAACCUAUAGAUUCAAGAAUCUGAGUGCAACUCAGAAUAAACACAAAUAAAUCCACACUAAUGGAGUUCCUGUUGUGGCUCAGCAGUAACGAACCCGACUAGUAUCCGUGAGGAUGUGGAUUCGAUCCUUGGCCUCGCUCAAUGGGUUAAGGAUCUGGUGUUGCCAUGAGCUGUGGUGUAGGUUGCAGACGCAGCUCAGAUCUGGCAUUGCUGUGGCUGUGGUGUAGGCCGGCAGCUACAGCUCCUACUUGACCCCUAGCCUGGGGAACCUCCAUAUGCUGUGGGUAUGGCCCCCCAAAAAAGCAAAAAAAAAAUUCAAACUAAGACAGAUCAUGCUCAAAUUUCUGAAAACUAGAAAAAAAAAAAGAGAAAAAAAAUCUUGAAAGUGAGAGAAGAACAUCUUACUUAUAAGAGAAAAAAGUUGGAUGACAGUGGAUUUCUCAUCAGCAACCGUGAAGGCGCAAAGGAAGUGGCACAACAUUUUUUAAGUGCUGAAAAAAACCACAAAACUUUCAGUCCAGAAUUGUGUAUUCCAGGAAACUAUCAGGGAUGAAAAUGUAAAUCCAGGCAUUAUCAGAUGAAGGAAAACCAAGAGAAUGUGUUGCCAGCAGAACUAUCCUAAAAGAAUGGCUCAGGUUAGUUCUUGAACUGGACAGGAAAGGGUAAAGAAAGGAACCCUGGAAUAUCAGGAAGGAAGAAAGAACAGUGGAAAGAGUAAAAAUACAUGUAAAUAGAAUAUGUUUUAAUCUUUCUAACUAUGUUUGAGGGUGGAAGCAAAGUUAUAAUAUUGUGCGAUGUGGUUCUAAGUGUCUAGAAGAAAUAUUUUCAACAGUUAUAAACUGGAGAGGGUAAAGAGACAUAAAGAGAGCUAGCACAAAAACCAAUAAAAUGAUGACAACAGUAGACUGUGGCAAGUUAUGUAUAGAUAAUGUAAUACCUAGAGAAACCACUAAAGCAGCAUAGACCAAUGAAAAUGGAAUUCUGAAAGUGCUCCAGCAACACACAGGAAGGCAGGCGAAAUCCAGAGAGAAGAACAAUAAANAAAAAAAAAAAAAAAAAAAAAAAAAAGGGGGGGGGGGAGAUUUAAGCCUUACCUUUAUCAAUAGUUCUGUUAAAUGUAAUAAUCUAAGUACUCCACUUAAAAAACAGAGAUGCGCCCAAGGGAUUAAAAAGCAUGAUCCAAUUAUAUACUGUCUACAAAAAAACUACUCAUAUUCAAUGAUACUGGUAUGUUAACAGUUAAAAGCUGGAAAAAGAUAUACCAUGCAAACAUUAAUUUUAAAAAGUAGGAGUGAUUACAUUAAUAUCAGAUGAUGUAGACAUCAAAGCAAAGAAAAUUACUAGAGAGAAAAAUGGGAUAAAUUACAUAAUUAUACAAGGGUUAACUCACCAAGUAGGCAUAGUUAUUUCAUGUGUGUGUGUGUGUGUGUGUGAACAGAGAUGCAAAAUAUGUCAGGCAAAAACUUAUACAAGUGAAAGAAGAAGCAGAAAACCCAUAAUAUAGUUGGAGACUCCAACAUUCUUCUAUUAAUAACUGAGUAAGCAGAUACGACAUAGAUCAAUUUGAAAAGCACAAACUAUCACAAUUCACUCAAUAUUAACAAGAUCAUUUGAAUAACUGUAACAAUUAAGGAAAGUGAAUUCAUAAAGCAAAAAUUUCACAUGAAGAAAACUUCAGUGCACGUGGUUCCACUAGAGAAGUCUCCCAAAUAUUUAAAGUAGAAUUAACAUAAUUUUUACACAAUCUCUUCCAGAAAAAAGAGGAGAUAACACUCCCCAAUUCACUUUAUGAAGCUAGUUGUACCUGAUACCAAAACCAGACAAGGAAAGCACAAAUAAAGAAAACUACAGACUACUGUUCCUUACGAAUAUAGGUAUGAAAAUCCUGAACAGAAUAUUAACAAAUACAAUUCAGAAACCUAGAAAGAAUUAUACACCAUGACGUAGUUGGGCUUAUUCCAAGCAUGUGAGUUUGGAUCAAUAUUCCAAAAUCGAUCAGUAUAAUGCACCGUAUUAACGAGUUAAAGAAGACAAAUUACAAGACCAUGUCUAUUGAUACAGAAAAACACCUGGCAACAUUUGACAGCCCUUCAUGAUAAAAUCUCUAAGAAAAAUGUGAACAGACAACAUCCUCAACUUGGUAAAGAGGAUGUGUAAAAAUCUACAGCUUACACUGUAUUUAAUGGGGAAGGACUGGAUGCUUUCCCACUUAGAUCAGCAACAAAACAAGGAGGUCUGCUCUCACCACUUGUAUUCAACAUAAUACUACAAGUUGUAGCCAGUGAAAUAAGAAAAAAAAAAGGCAUACCAAUUGGAGCAGAAGAAAUAACUGUUCUCUAUUUGAUUUGCAGAUGACAUAAUUAUGUAGAAAAUCCCAAGGAAUCUACAAAAACACCCAGAACUAGUGAGUUUAACAAAUAUGCAGAAUUAAAGGAAAAACAUCAAAAAAUCUUAAAUACUGUACACUAGCAAUGAAUUAAUAGACAUCAAAAUAAAAGCUAUGUUAGUUACAAUUGCUUAAGAAAAGAGAAAUAUUUAGGUAUCAUUUUAGGGAAAUAUAAACAAGAACUUUUAAAACUACAAAAUGCUGAUGAAAGAAAUCAAAGGAAAUGUAAGUAAAUGGAGAGCCACAUUGUAUUCAUGGAUUGGAAGACUCAAUAUAGUAAAGACAUCAGUUCUUCCCAAAUUGACAUACAGAUUUAAUGCAAUUUUUAUGAAACUUCCAGUAAGAUAUUUUAUAAAUACAGACAAUUCUAAAAUUUACACGUAGGAGUUCCUGCUGUGGCUCACUGGAAACGAGCCAGACUCAUAUCCGUGAGAAUGCAGGUUGGAUCCCUAGCCUCACUCAGUGGGUUAAGGAUCUGACGUUGCCUGAGCUGUGGUGCAGGCUGCAGAUGUGGCUGAGAUCCCAUAUUGCUGUAGCUGUGGCUGUGGCCAGCAGCUGCAGCUCCGAUUUGACCCCUAGCCUGGGAACUUCCAUAUGCCACAGGUGUGGCCCUAAAAAGCAAUAAAAAAAAUUAAAAAGAUUUAUAUGGUAGAGAGAAAAGGAACUAGAAUAGCUAAAACAAUUUUGAAAAAAAUAAAGUGAGGGGAGGAGCAGUAAGGUCCAUCUGAUUGUAAGACUUAUUGUACAGUGACAGUGAUCAAAAGUUGUGUGGUAUCAGUGAAAGGACAGAUAAUUACAUCAAUGGAAUAGAAUACAGGACCCAGAAAUAGCCCACAUAAAUAGGCCCAAAUGAUUUUUAACAAAAUCAAAAAAGGGAGCCUUUCAAUGGAAUACUACUCAACUAUAAAAGAGAACAACAUAAUGCCAUUUGCAGCAACAUGGAUGGAACUAGAGACUCUCAUAUUAAGUGAAGUCAGAAAUAGAAAGACAAAUACCAUAUAAAAUGACUUGUAUUUGGAAUCUAAUAUACAGCACAAAUGAAUUUUCCACAGAAAAGAAACUCAUGGACUUGGAGAACAGACUUGUGGGUGCCAAGAGGGAGGGGGAUGGACUGGGAGGGACUGGGAGUUGGGGGUUAAUAGAUGCAAACUAUUGCACUUGGAAUGGAUAGGCAAUGAGAUCCUGCUGAAUAGAACAGGGAACUCUAUCUAAUCACUCGUGAUGGAACAUGAGGAGGAUAAUGUGAAAAAAAGAAUGUGUAUAAAUGUAUAACUGGGUCACUUUGCUCUACAGCAGAAAUUGACAAAACAUUGUUAAGUCAACUAUGAUAAAAAUUAAAAAAAAUACAUUCAAAAGGGAGCCUUUUGUAACAAAUACUGC